rnacentral:lncRNA from 1 species
AGCUACUGAACUGAACUGAACUGAAGUACACAACAGCACAGUUUCUUUAUUCAUUUUUACCUAUCUGGCAACUCUUUUUAAAUAUUGUCUUUACCCUUCUCUCCAAACUGUUAAUGCAUCAUGUUUUCAAAUAUGAAAAUAAUCACAUUUUUAAACCGAACUCUGAGUGUGUCUAAGGUUUCAGCAAGCCUUGAGGUCUUGGCUUCAUUUUCUGACUUCUCAGACUCAGUGACUCUUACUCACACUUGAUCUUAGCCAAAAGGCCGAGAAGCGAUCAGUGACUCUUACUCAAACUUCAUUGAUUUCUUUUCACCCACUGUCACAAAUAAAUUUCUCUAGAACCAUUUCUGCCACUUCCCUUGAAAAACUAUAAAAUUAUUAAUAACAUUUAAUAACAUCCAUUUAACAAGUAUUUUUCCAAAGACAAAUCUCAACUGCCUGUGUAUAUACUGUUGCAAUAAUUUACAGGUGAGAUGAUAAACCAUUUCCCAGCAAGGAGAUGAGAUCAUGGAAUCACAAACCUUUAUAUCAGGGAUAAGCUGGCCCCUUUGCACACAUGGUCAGAUUCUGAGGGGUAUACACUGUCCUGGCAGAAGAUGGCACGAGAUAAGUUCUGCUUCUGUUAGAGAGGUUUCACAUUCUUAAUAACUGACUAUUCAGGCAGGAAAGACAUUUUCUGUGGGAACCAGGGGCACCUCAUAAUCCUUUUAAGCUACUUUGGUGAUUGCAAACAUCCCUUUUCCACGUUUCCCAUCCUAAGCCCCUUUGGGGGCUUUUCAUAUUGUGUUUGAGUGAACCUACUGAAACUCAUGGAAAGCAGAGUGUUCAUGUUUUUGACAAGAAACAAGACAGCUGACAACUAUGAGACGAUGCUGAGUAGCAUUGCAGUAUGGUGGGUCCCUUUCUACGUGCAGUCAUUGGAAGUUUGCUACGAUUCAUGCAGUCUGAAAUAAUAGGUCUCGAAACAUUUCUGUGACAUGCCCUAGAUUACAUUCCAAGGAACUCUGGGUAUAAUAAGCCCUUUGAGAGGCAGCAAAACCCCGCUGGCUUUACAGCUUCAGAACCUCAUUUCCCAGAGCCCUUUCCAUCCUCCCUUAGCCUUUAGCCACAUUCUGGAACUACCAACUUUGAGAAAGUGCAGGUAACUAAGGUAGUGGAAACUACUCUGUCCACAAGGCUGUGCAGCUAUGACCAUGCACCAGAAAGACUUCUGGGUAAUGUAGCUUCCUCUGCCAACACUACCUACCAACACUUGGAGAGUAAGUCACUUCCUACUGGACCUGUAAAAGCCAAGAGGCACCCUCAGGGACACCAGGAAAAGAGUUCCCUGCUCCAGCCAUGGGAGGGCCUUCGGUUACUCUUAAGUGGGAUGCUCCUAAAUUUGUAGAGUCUUGGAAAAGCCCACAAAGCUUAGGGACCUGUAAUUUCAGAUAGCAAUAUAUUUGUAAUAGUGGUAAAGAACCCGCCAGUCAAUGCAGGAGACAUAAGAGAAGCAGGUUCGAUC